UAACGAAAUAAGGAAUUUACUAUAUUGACAUACCGUUGAGAUUGUUCUUGGAGAAGUAAAUUCAUAAUAAUAAGGGACAGCACCAGGUACAACAAAAUUUUUAAUCAAUGAUGCCUUUUCGGAUGAUUCUCUAUCAUUACUGUCGCUAACCGGAUUGACAUCUCCAGCAUGUAAUGUCAUCAUAGGAAUAGUGGAUUGAUUUGUCCACACUAAAUUUUGAAUAGAACGGGGACACAGAGCAAAAAUGCCUUUUACAGAGUUUGGUCGAAUGUGUUUUAGACUCUCAAGAGCGACAGACGCACCAGUAUCUUCACCUAGGAAAAAAAUACGUUCUGGAUCUGCAUCAUAAUAGAUGGCAUUCUCUACUAUCCAAUCUACACACAAAGAUACAAAUUCGACGGCAUCGGAAAGGGGAAAUUUUGGAGGCUGGGCGUAAUUGGGAACCACUACGAAGAAGCCUAAAGAUGAAAGGUAGGGAAUGAUAAUGCUUUCGGAUUUCUUAGCACCACAAACCCAAACAAUAACAGAAGAUGCGGAUGCA